rnacentral:rRNA from 1 species
CAGAAACUACAAAGGAAGUUGACGGGGCCCGCGACAAGCGGAGGAACAUGUGGUUUAAUUCGAUGAUACGCGAGGAACCUUACCUGGGCUUAAAUGGGAGUGACAGCUGUCGAAAGAUGGUCUUCUUCGGACACUCUUCAAGGUGCUGCAUGGUUGUCGUCAGCUCGUGCCGUGAGGUGUCGGGUUAAGUCCCAUAACGAGCGCAACCCUUACCGUUAGUUACCAUCAGGUUAAGCUGGGGACUCUAGCGGGACUGCCACCGUAAGGUGAGAGGAAGGUGGGGAUGACGUCAAAUCAGCACGGCCCUUAUGUCCAGGGCUACACACGUGUUACAAUGGCCGGUACAAAGGGCAGCUACUUCGCGAGAAGAUGCUAAUCUCAAAAGCCGGUCUCAGUUCGGAUCGGAGUCUGCAACCCGACUCCGUGAAGCUGGAAUCGCCAGUAAUCGCGCAUCAGCCAUGGCGCGGUGAAUACGUUCCCGGGCCUU